AGCUCUCUCUAAGAGGAGACACAGGACUCAGACUGAAGCAGUUUAUGAAGAGAUUGAUCACAGACACACAAACACACACAAACACUUCACUCAGAGAGAGGACAUACUAGAUGGUUAUGAUGAUGUCGUCAUUAUUGGACAGAGUUCUCGAGCUGUAACAGAAAGGAGGAGUCAACCAAAGAUGGAGGUUUAAUUCAAUAAGCACAACCAAUGACUCUGUUCAUUAAAUCAUUACAGUCAGAGCCGCUGCUGGCCAAAUGGGUGCCCUAAGCAGACUUUUACUGUGGUGCCCCUUUAGUUAAAAAAAAAAACAAUAAAACUUUAUUAAAAUGCUUUUGUUAUCAUUUAUAAUUGUAUUUUAAUAGCAACACAAAUUACAAUUAUACAAAUAUGCAAUUACGUAUUAUAGCCUGAACCUGUGUAGCUAAUGGACUUUAGCUUAAUCCCAUGUGUCAAAGCUACAUGUCAGCAUAAAUCCAAGCAAAUGUCUUUCUUGUAAGUAAAUUAAAAGUCAGCUUUAAGAAAACAACAGAUGUCUAUUAACAAAAGCAAAAGUUGGUAUGUAUGGUUUUGUUCUCAAUAUAAUACAGAUGCGGCUGUAAUGAUAACAGUUAUGGGAUCUCAGAGAAGUUUAAGUUUUCAAUUUGCCUUAUUUGAGGCUUAUAUUCAUACAGUACAGCAGAAAUUUUUAUUCAGUUCUGGUCUUGUAAUAUAAUUUUUGACAGAUUUGGUAAUGCUCUUUUGUACUUAACUACCUAAUGAAUCAUAUCAUUCACUAUUUAUGUAUUUUUUUACAAAUAGAUCAAAUCAUAAAAAUAAUGUUCAAUGCUGGGAGUUUGAA